CAGCAGCCGCGGUAAUACGAAGGGGGCUAGCGUUGUUCGGAAUUACUGGGCGUAAAGCGCACGUAGGCGGACAUUUAAGUCAGGGGUGAAAUCCCGGGGCUCAACCACGGAACUGCCUUUGAUACUGGGUGUCUAGAGUAUGGAAGAGGUGAGUGGAAUUCCGAGUGUAGAGGUGAAAUUCGUAGAUAUUCGGAGGAACACCAGUGGCGAAGGCGGCUCACUGGUCCAUUACUGACGCUGAGGUGCGAAAGCGUGGGGAGCAAACAGGAUUAGAUACCCGUGUAGUCCCUGUCUCUUAUAC
rnacentral:rRNA from 1 species